rnacentral:rRNA from 1 species
UACGAAGGGUGCAAGCGUUAUUCGGAUUUAUUGGGCGUAAAGCGCGCGUAGGCGGGUUAAUAAGUCAGAUGUGAAAUCUCGGGGCUCAACCUCGAACCUGCGUCUGAAACUGUUAAUCUAGAAUUUCGGAGGGGGAAGGGGAAUUUCGCAUGUAGGGGUAAAAUCCGUAGAGAUGCGAAAGAACAUCAGGGGCGAAGGCGCCUUCCUGGACGAAUUAUUGACGCUAAUGUGCGAAAGCGUGGGGAGCAAACAGGAUUAGAUACCCUGGUAGUCCACGCUGUAAACGAUGAGCACUAGACAUUGUGGGCAUUUGGUCCUGCGGUGUCGUAGCUAACGCAUUAAGUGCUCCGCCUGGGGAGUACGGUCGCAAGACUAAA